UACGGAGGGUGCGAGCGUUGUCCGGAAUCAUUGGGCGUAAAGGGCGCGUAGGUGGCCCGGUCAGCGUGCGGUGAAAGCUCGGGGCUCAACCCCGAGUCGGCCGUGCGAACUGCUGGGCUUGAGCACUGUAGAGGCGGGCGGAAUUCCGGGUGUAGCGGUGGAAUGCGUAGAGAUCCGGAAGAACACCGGUGGCGAAGGCGGCCUGCUGGGCAGUGGCUGACGCUGAGGCGCGACAGCGUGGGGAGCGAACUGG
rnacentral:rRNA from 1 species